rnacentral:rRNA from 1 species
UUGGAGGGCAAGUCUGGUGCCAGCAGCCGCGGUAAUUCCAGCUCCAAUAGCGUAUAUUAAAGUUGUUGCAGUUAAAAAGCUCGUAGUUGAAUUUCGGGAUCAAUAUUUCGGUCAUGCCGUUGGUAUGCACUGUUAUCAUUGAUUUCUCACCUUCUAAAAAACCGUAAUGCCAUUAAUUUGGUGUUACGGGGAAUUAGGACUGCUACCUUGAAAAAAUUAGAGUGUUUAAAGCAGGC